rnacentral:rRNA from 1 species
AGUGAACGCUGGCGGUAGGCCUAACACAUGCAAGUCGAACGGCAGCACAGUAAGAGCUUGCUCUUACGGGUGGCGAGUGGCGGACGGGUGAGGAAUACAUCGGAAUCUACUUUUUCGUGGGGGAUAACGUAGGGAAACUUGCGCUAAUACCGCAUACGACCUACGGGUGAAAGCAGGGGAUCUUCGGACCUUGCGCGAUUGAAUGAGCCGAUGUCGGAUUAGCUAGUUGGCGGGGUAAAGGCCCACCAAGGCGACGAUCCGUAGCUGGUCUGAGAGGAUGAUCAGCCACACUGGAACUGAGACACGGUCCAGACUCCUACGGGAGGCAGCAGUGGGGAAUAUUGGACAAUGGGCGCAAGCCUGAUCCAGCUAUACCGCGUGGGUGAAGAAGGCCUUCGGGUUGUAAAGCCCUUUUGUUGGGAAAGAAAAGCAGCAGGUUAAUACCCCGCUGUUCUGACGGUACCCAAAGAAUAAGCACCGGCUAACUUCGUG